rnacentral:rRNA from 1 species
GGUUUUUAGAGAUUAUUAAAAAUCCAACCUGCUCAAUGCUUAGUAAAUAGCCGCAGUAUUUUGACUGUGCAAAGGUAGCAUAAUCAUUUGUCUUUUAAUUGGAGACUGGAAUGAAAGGUUUGACUGAGUUUUUUUGUCUUAUAAUAAUAUUUUGAAAUUUAUAAUUUAGUAAAAAAGCUAAAAUUUUUUAUAGGGACGAGAAGACCCUAUCAAGUUUUACAAUCGAGAGCUUACUUUCAAACUAAGCUCCAAAUUGUUUUGCUGGGGCAGCAAAUAAAAAUUUUUUAUUUUUAAAUUGUGAUUUAUAAAUCUUGAAAAAUCAAAAAGUUUUUAAAUAAAAAUUAAUUACUGUAGGGAUAACAGCAUAAUUUUUUUAAAGAGUUCUCAUCAUCAAAAAAGUUUGUGACCUCGAUGUUGGAUUAAAAUUCCUAAUUCAUGCAAUAAUGAAAUAAGGAAGUCUGUUCGACUUUUAAAAUUUUCCA